UACGUAGGGUGCGAGCGUUAAUCGGAAUUACUGGGCGUAAAGCGUGCGUAGGCGGUUCGUUAAGUUCGUUGUGAAAGCCCCGGGCUCAACCUGGGAAUGGCAAUGGAAACUGGCGGGCUGGAGUAUGGCAGAGGGGGGUGGAAUUCCGCGUGUAGCAGUGAAAUGCGUAGAGAUGCGGAGGAACACCGAUGGCGAAGGCAGCCCCCCUGGGCCAAUACUGACGCUCAGGCACGAAAGCGUGGGGAGCAAACAGG
rnacentral:rRNA from 1 species